GGGGUGAUUUAGGGGGUUGUGUUGAGUUGUGUUAGAGUUGGUGAGGUUGUGUGUAGGUUGUGUGAGGGUUGUUGUUAGCGUUGUGUGAGGGUUGUGUGAGGGUUGUGUUAGCGUUGGUGGGGUUAGAGUGUGCAGAUGUUUAUAUCAUAUCCAUUAAAUAAAUUUGAACGUGAGCUUCUCAAUGCUGGACAGUGCACACCUCCCUCCUCAGAAUCAAAACACAGACAGUGUACAUUCAAGGCAUCCCAAUAUGUAUCUGAAUAAUACCAUAAUACUAACUAUACUAACCCCUACGGGUGUUUCUGGCUAACCCCUACGGUGGUUCUGGCUAAACCCCUACGGUGGUUCUGGCUUGGUUCUGGCUAACCCUCGUGUCGGUAACCCCUACGGUGGUUUCUGGCUACCCUACGGUGGUUUGGCUAAUCCCUACGUUGUUCUGGCUAACCCCUACGGUGGUUCUGGCUUGUUCUGGCUAACCCCUACGGUGGUUUUGGCUGGUUCUGGGCUAAUCCCUACGGUGGUUCUGGCUAACCCCUACGGUGGUUCGGUAACCCUAGUGGUUCUGCUAACCCCUACGGUGGUCUGGCUAAACCUACAGUGGUUCUGGCUAUCCCUACGGUUCUGUGGGUUCGGCAACCCUACGGUGGUUCUGGCUAACCCCUACGGUGGUUCUGGCUAACCCCUACGGUGGUUCUGGCUAACCCCUACGGUGGUUCUGGCUUGGUUCUGGCUAACCCCUAUGGUCCUAAUUGGGAUGACGCUUUUUCCCUCCAAUUUUCUCUGACCUCAAUGCAACACUUCCCGACCUUAAUUCAUCAUUUGAAACUGGGCGGAAUUUCAAUUGGUGUUCCAUCCAAGUCUAGACAGAUCUAGACCGAGCCCAACCAUGUCAUUUCAAAAUCAGACGCAGUCAUCAAGUCAUUUCUAGAAUCCUAUAAUUUGUCUGAUCCAUGAGAGGGAGCAAUCCCACUUCUAAACAGUACUCUGUUUUCCCUCCAGUUCACCGCUCAUACUCUAGGAUUGCUCUGUACCGUAACACCCUGUAAUAGCCUCCACAUGACUCUGUACC
rnacentral:lncRNA from 1 species